rnacentral:rRNA from 1 species
UAGGGAAUCUUCCACAAUGGGCGCAAGCCUGAUGGAGCAACACCGCGUGAGUGAACGAAGGGUUUCGGCUCGUAAAGCUCUGUUGUUAAAGAAGAACACGUAUGAGAGUAACUGUUCAUACGUUGACGGUAUUUAACCAGAAAGUCACGGCUAACUACGUGCCAG